rnacentral:rRNA from 1 species
GAUUAACGCUGGCGGCGUGCAUAACACAUGCAAGUCGAACGAUGAAACUUUAAUGAACCCUUCGGGGAGAAUUAAAGCGGAUUAGUGGCGAACGGGUGAGUAACGCGUGAGUAACCUGCCUUACACAAGGGGAUAGCCUUUGGAAACGAAGAAUAAUACCCUAUAAAACCAUAAAAGCACAUGCAAUUAUGGUCAAAGUGAUAGCGGUGUAAGAUGGACUUGCGUCUGAUUAGCUAGUUGGUGAGAUAAAAGCCCACCAAGGCAACGAUCAGUAGCCGGCUUGAGAGAGUGUACGGCCACAUUGGGACUGAGACACGGCCCAGACUCCUACGGGAGGCAGCAGUGGGGAAGUUUGCACAAUGGGGGAAACCCUGAUGCAGCGACGCCGCGUGAUUUAGAAGGCCUUCGGGUUGUAAAAAUCUUUUGUAUAGGAAGAAAAUGACAGUACUAUACGAAUAAGGUCCGGCUAAUUACGUG